rnacentral:misc_RNA from 1 species
GAACUUUCCAAAUAAAAAUGAAAGAAGAAAAUACAAAUCCAACGACGGUCAACAUUGUCCAACGUUUGGUUUGGGUUCUCUUUUCUUGUAGUGUUGUUUGCAUAAUAUUAAUAUUAUUAUUUUUGAAGGAUAUAGCAACAAUGCUAUCAUUAUGAGACGGCAAUCACUUGCAUCACUUCCCCCACCAUUUUUCUUUCUUUCCUUCCUUCCUCCUUUCUUUCCCAACAAAAAUUUAUAGGCCCGUAAGUCUUCGCUUUCUUUGAUUCUUCUCUCAACAAAAUUCAACCAAUCUUCUUAUUUCUUCAGGAGGAUUUGGUUCCACUAUAGGGUUUUUGGCACUUUCUGGGUCUUGGAGAGCUGUAGCUGGAAUUUCGAUCUACAGCUACUGAACCAACUAUUUUGUUAGUUUGGUGAGCAGGUUAUCAAGGACUUGGCAUAAUUGUUGUUUAGCACAAAAUUGGAAGUGUAAAAUUCAAUAUCAACUUGCCAAUUUCUUGAAUUUGGUCUUGAAGACUGUACUUGGAUUUUGUAGUGAUAGUGAGAAAUUGAUAUUUCUUGUUCAGGGAAGUUUGAUUCCUUCAACUCUAAGUAUCCAUGCGUGUUUGAGUUUCAGCUACUUUCUAAUCUGGGUUCUCCCUUUUGCCAACUUGACAAAUUGGAAUUUGAAGAAUUCAUCUGAGUUUCGUGUUGAUUGCCCAAAAUUGUGCUAUGUUUAGAGCUCUAUGAACCCAAGAUUUAUGGGUGUUGAAUUUCAAGCUAAUUUUCUGUAUAGCUUUCUCCACAUAAUUGUUUAAAGAGCAGUGGAUGUGAAUUAUAUAGCUUGAAUUUCCAAGGUUUCUGGGUUGCGAUUUCAUAUGCUCUGACCAUCUAUUCAUUUUAUAUAGCUUAGUUGCAGCGCGCAGAAUUUUGAGAUGUUUUCAUUAUGUUUAAAUUCUCAAAGAUGUAAAUGGAGCACAUUAUUUCAUUGAUGAUGGCUGUUUCUGCAUUGGCUCUUCUGUUAUUGGUGCAAUUUCCAAGUAUAAUAGCCUUUGGGUUGCACAUACAAUCAAAGGUUUGUGGUACCGAUCACAUAGUCUAUUCAAAUUUUGAUGAUCAAGAAUUGUUUUACAUUAAUGGAAGUCCCGUAGACAAAGAUUCAUUUUGCAAGCUCCUUCACUUCCACUAUGCAAAUGGUUGCAUCUUUGAGAGUUAUGAUGGCUGUAGCUACUGUGGGUUGGACCUCUUAUUAGCUAACUUGUCCCUCAAGGGAGGAAGAAAACUUUUGCAAAAGGAGGUCGGGGAACAGUCCAAAAUCCAUGGAGGUCAGGAUAUUCCUCCAAAAGAGAAGAAGAACAAUCCUACAACUUUAACCCCCAAACAUGUCGGCUUAGUAGCAGCUGGAAUUGUUGUCAUAACCUGUGGUCUUUUGUGUCCCUGUUCUCGCAGGAAAAGGAAAGCAACUGCUCACCCUGUUCUUGCUAAGGAUCCAAUUUCAAUGGAUUCAGUAUCCUCUUUCAAUGUGAAUUCCACUCCUGAAAAAGUUCCACCCAGUCCACUUCGGGUGCCACCUAGUCCUUCUAGAUUUUCAAUGUCUCCCAAGCUUAGUAGACUGGGAUCAAUUCAUCUCAAUUUGAAUCAGGCUGCAAGAGCUACACACAAUUUUUCUCCAACACAUCGGAUAGGAGAAGGAGGCUUUGGAACUGUCUACAAGGCCCAACUAGAAAAUGGGCAGGUGGUUGCGAUAAAACGAGCAAAGAAGGAACACUAUGAGAAAUUGCGAACUGAAUUCAGCAGUGAAGUUGAGCUUCUAGCAAAAAUUGAUCAUCGGAAUCUGGUGAAAUUACUUGGUUAUGUUGAAAAAGGAACUGAGCGCCUUAUUAUUACUGAGUAUGUGCCAAAUGGUACUCUUAGAGAACAUUUGGAUGGUCAGCGUGGAAGAAUUCUGGACUUUAAUCAAAGGCUUGAAAUAUCCAUUGAUGUUGCACAUGCAUUAACUUAUCUCCACACAUAUGCAGAGAAGCAGAUUAUCCACCGAGAUGUCAAAUCAUCCAACAUUCUUUUGACGGAGAGCAUGAGGGCCAAGGUUGCUGAUUUUGGAUUUGCAAGACUUGGUCCUGUGGACGCUGAUCAGACUCACAUUUCAACCAAAGUGAAAGGGACAGUGGGUUACCUUGACCCUGAAUAUAUGAAGACUUAUCAGCUGACCCCAAAGAGUGACGUAUACUCAUUUGGGAUUUUACUUCUAGAAAUUCUGACAGGCCGCCGUCCUGUGGAGCUGAAGAGACCUGCAGAUGAGCGGGUUACACUUAGAUGGGUCUUUAGAAAGUAUAACGAAGGAACCGUGGUAGAUAUGGUGGAUCCACUAAUGGAAGAGAAAGUAGAUGGGGAGGUACUCAUGAAAUUGUUUGCUUUGGCAAUCCAGUGUGCUGCACCCAUUCGAGCAGAUCGACCGGACAUGAAAACAGCAGGAGAACAACUGUGGGCAAUAAGGGCAGACUACCUGAAAAGUGCAAGGGCAAGGCGUGGUUAAAAAAAAAAAGAAGAGUGGCCUGCUCAUAUUCUAUUGUGCUCCUUUCAUCACAUUUUCUUUUCAGCCUGUGUAAACAAAUUCCAUUUUAAUGUCAAGACACAAGUUACUUUCAUCUUGGUCCCUUAACCUUGCUUCACUGCUCAUCAUCAUUUUGAGAACAUACUUGGACUUUUGGGCUCUUGGCUACUUCUUGCUCUUUAACUUGUCAUAUAGCAAAAAGUCCUGUCAUGGACAAUGUAUAAAAUGAUGAAGCACAUUUGCUUUGGAAGAUUGCUCUACCAAAUGACAGGUUAUCUGUAUACAACAAUUCUCUGGUUUUUGCGCUUGACGAUGAGAAUAAAAUGAGCAUGAAGUGUGCCAUGUAAUUAGUGGCAAAUUAGUUUGCAUUUCAUCUUGUUAACAUGAUUUGAAUUUUGAAGCCAGGACCUUGUGAAUUCUCUGGUUUUGUUGAAAUUUAAUUAACAAAAAUUGUUUCC